rnacentral:lncRNA from 1 species
UUUCCCUGACCCUUGGCCCUCCACUUCCUAUCCAUUUAUAUUCCAAUCUGUCAUAGAACAUUUCUUGCCCACUUUUUAUUCAUUUUUUUUCAAAUCUCACAUUCAUACUUGCUGUAAAUCUCCCCUUCUUCAUCCCAUUUUCCAGACAUCUGCAGCUUUCCCCUAUUUUUCACACUUUCUAGACUUUCUGCCUCUCCCUCUGCUUAAUCUCACUUUCUCAUACCCUCUCCUUUAAUCUUGGUAUUUCCUUACCUUCCCAGAUCCUACAGCCCUUUGUUUCAGCUCAAACUUCCCAGUCCCUCUGCAAAAACUCCCUGUCUCACUCUGUAACACCCCACGCCUUAUGUAUUUUCCAAGUUUUCUGCUCACUUUCCCAGUCACAAUUAUGGUGCUCUCAACCAACUCAACACUCUCCUGUGCAUACUUACAACAUUCAACUCAUACACCACACUCAAAUGUUCACAUACCCACCAAUUCCAUACUUCUCAAUAUUUAAUCAAAACAUGUAAACUGAAAUAAAGAUUAAAACAAUGGUUUCUGGGGCAUCAACCCCUUGGCCCAGCAGCUAGGCCUUAAUAAAACACACCUCUUCUCAAUUCUGGUUCACAGGAACAACAAAUAUCACCAUAAUCAUACCAUUCUAAUGGCAUAUAAUAUGCCAAUAGCAAGAUCCGGGCAUCAACCCCUGGACCCUAUGCAGAAGGGCCAAAGUCAUUCACAGAAUCACUCUUCACAAGAACUGACAAUAUUCACAUUAAUCACACAAUAUAAAUUUUCAAAAAUCCCACAACGAUCCCAAAGGAUCCCAUUUCGAUUAUAAAUAUUCGAUAUCUCAUGAAAUAUUCAAAGUCAACGAUACACAAUAAAAUCAAGCAUGCCAAACUGUUGAGGCUUCUGUCCCUUGACCCUAUGCAGAAGGGCCAUAGUAUAAUGUCAUUUACUUCUCCAAUGGAAAACACAGCAAUGCACAAAUAUAUUUAUACGAAUAUAAAUAAACCCUAAACACAUAAGUUUUUAAUGAAGCCCUCGGGCAUCAACUUUUCCCCCUAGAACACAAACCUCAACUUCAUUCUAUACUAUGUUCCUAUGCAGUAAAAUUCCUAGGAAAUUCUGUCGCAUCUCUGCUUCCACUCACGUAUUGAGACUCGUCCCGGUUUGCUCGACUUUUUUCUCCAUUUAAUCUCUAGUCCCAUUCUGUCUCUAACCCCUUCCAUCUUUCCCCUUUACUUUCUUUCGCUCAAGGCUUCACUAAUUUUCCACCGAGAAAACCCCAGAUCUGACCCUUUGUAAUUGCUUCGGUCAUCCUCACUCUCCAACUGUUUAUCCUCUCAAAUUUCUAUAUUGAGUCCCCUUUCUAACAUUUUCGAACCGACUCAAUACCAAGCUCAUAAUUCCAACACGAUGCUAAUUCAGUAUGCUAAUUCAGUGUUGUGAAACGAAAAUUAGACUUACCUUGUUUCGGAACGAUGGUAUUAUCGCCCCGCAUUUCACUCACCCUCUCCUCGCAUGGCCUCCUUCUAAGUUUGCUCUCCCUCGUUGUUUCGCCUAUCCUCUUCUUCUGUUCCCCGAAAUGAGAAGUUAUUUUUUCUCUCUCCCUUUCACUCUUCUAUCGUCUCUCUCUCUCCCCCUCUCUCUCUCUUGCGUGGCAGCAAUCCUCUCCUUUACCAGAAAGAGAGUUAGGGUUAAUAUUUAUAUAUGCAUCAUGGCUCGUCUGAUCU